CAGACACUGUGUGACUAGGUUAUAAAAAGCAUUGUAACUUUCUCCCCUCUCUGUCUCUCUCUCUUUCUCUCUCACAUUGCUUACUCCGGAGAAACUAGCUGACACAUUGCAAGGACUCUGAACCAAAUCUAUGAAGAGGUGCACACAACAAGCAAGUGGGGCUUCCUACCGUGUGUUUAUAUAAAGUAAGUCUACACACAUCAAAUGAAGAAAGAAGAUGUACUACUUGAACUAUCCCAACAAUUCAGAUG
rnacentral:lncRNA from 1 species